UACAGAGGGGGGCGAGCGUUGUUCGGAAUUACUGGGCGUAAAGGGCGCGUAGGCGGCCAACUAAGUCAGACGUGAAAUCCCUCGGCUCAACCGGGGAACUGCGUCUGAUACUGGAUGGCUUGAAUUCGGGAGAGGGAUGCGGAAUUCCAGGUGUAGCGGUGAAAUGCGUAGAUAUCUGGAGGAACACCGGUGGCGAAGGCGACAUCCUGGACCGGUAUUGACGCUGAGGCGCGAAAGCCAGGGGAGCAAACGGG
rnacentral:rRNA from 1 species